rnacentral:rRNA from 1 species
ACGAGAAUCGAUUCCGUUAGUAGUGGCGAGCGAACGCGGAACAGCCCAAACCGUCGGGAUUUAUCCUGGCGGGGUUAUAGGGCCACGAUGUGAGAUUAUGCGAGUUAGACAAACACUCUGGAAAGUGUGACCAUAGCGGGUGACAGUCCCGUAGUUUAAAACUCAAAUGACUCUAGUGGUACCCUGAGUAGCACCGUACACGUGAAAUCCGGUGUGAAUUCGUGCCGACCACGGCAUAAGGCUAAAUACUCGAUGAAGACCGACAGUGAACUAGUACCGCGAGGGAAAGGUGAAAAGCACCCCUGUUAGGGGAGUGAAAUAGUAACUGAAAUCAAUUGCUAACAAGUCAGUGGGAGCUCCCUUGUGGAGUGACCGCCUGCCUUUUGUAUAAUGAGUCUGCGAGUUAUUGCCCGUAGCAAGCUUAAGCCGGUUCCCGGCGAAAGCGCAGCGAAAGCAAGUCCAAAUAGGGCGCUUAGUUGCUGGCAAUAGACCCGAAGCGGAGGUGAUCUAACCAUGACCAGGAUG